CCCCCCCACACACACAUUUAUACACAGCACUCUCACACUCAGCACUCUGCACUCUCACACAUCACACUCAGCACUCUCACACACAGCACUCUCACACACAUCAUACACAGCAGUUUCACUCUCACACAUCACACUCAGCACUCUCACACACAGCACUCUCACACACAGCACUCUCACACACAUCAUACACAGCACUCUCACACACAUCACACUCUGCACUCUCACACAUAACACACACAGCACUCUCACACACAUCAUACACAGCACUCUCACACACAUCACAC